GAUGAACGCUGGCGGCGUGCCUAAUACAUGCAAGUCGAGCGAACGGACGAGAAUCUUGCUUCUCUGAUGUUAGCGGCGGACGUGUGAGUAACACGUGUAUAACCUACCUAUAAGACUGGGAUAACUUCGGGAAACCGUAGCUAAUACCGGAUAAUAUUUUGAACCGCAUGGUUCAUAAGUGAAAUACGGUCUUGCUGUCACUUAUAGAUUGAUCCGCGCUGCAUUAGCUAAUUGGUAAGGUAACUGCUUACCAAGGCAACGAUGCAUAGCCGACCUGAGAGGGGGAUCGGCCACACUGGAACUGAGACACGGACCAGACUCCUACGGGAGGCAGCAGUAGGGAAUAUUCCGCAAUGGGCGAAAGCAUGACGGAGCAACGCCGAGUGAGUGAUGAAGGUCUUCGGAGCGUAAAACUCUGUUAUUAGGGAAGAACAUAUGUGUAAGUAACUGUGCACAUAAUGACGGUACCUAAUCAGAAAGCCACGGCUAACUACGUG
rnacentral:rRNA from 1 species